UACGUAGGUGGCAAGCGUUGUCCGGAUUUAUUGGGCGUAAAGCGAGCGCAGGCGGUUCCUUAAGUCUGAUGUGAAAGCCCACGGCUCAACCGUGGAAGGUCAUUGGAAACUGGGGAACUUGAGUGCAGAAGAGGAGAGUGGAAUUCCAUGUGUAGCGGUGAAAUGCGUAGAGAUAUGGAGGAACACCAGUGGCGAAGGCGGCUUCCUGGUCUGUAACUGACACUGAGGCGCGAAAGCGUGGGGAGCAAACAGGAUUAGAUACCCGU
rnacentral:rRNA from 1 species